rnacentral:rRNA from 1 species
AGUGAACGCUGGCGGUAGGCCUAACACAUGCAAGUCGAACGGCAGCACAGUAAGAGCUUGCUCUUACGGGUGGCGAGUGGCGGACGGGUGAGGAAUACAUCGGUAUCUACUUUUUCGUGGGGGAUAACGUAGGGAAACUCACGCUAAUACCGCAUACGACCUACGGGUGAAAGCAGGGGAUCUUCGGACCUUGCGCGAUUGAAUGAGCCGAUGUCGGAUUAGCUAGUUGGCGGGGUAAAGGCCCACCAAGGCGACGAUCCGUAGCUGGUCUGAGAGGAUGAUCAGCCACACUGGAACUGAGACACGGUCCAGACUCCUACGGGAGGCAGCAGUGGGGAAUAUUGGACAAUGGGCGCAAGCCUGAUCCAGCCAUACCGCGUGGGUGAAGAAGGCCUUCGGGUUGUAAAGCCCUUUUGUUGGGAAAGAAAAGCAGCAGGUUAAUACCCCGCUGUUCUGACGGUACCCAAAGAAUAAGCACCGGCUAACUUCGUG